rnacentral:rRNA from 1 species
GUAACGGCGAGUGAAGCGGCAAAAGCUCAAAUUUGAAAUCUAGCACCUUCGGUGUUCGAGUUGUAAUUUGAAGAUGGUAACCUUGGGUUUGGCUCUUGUCUAUGUUCCUUGGAACAGGACGUCAUAGAGGGUGAGAAUCCCGUCUGAUGAGAUGCCCAUUCCUAUGUAAGGUGCUAUCGAAGAGUCGAGUUGUUUGGGAAUGCAGCUCUAAGUGGGUGGUAAAUUCCAUCUAAAGCUAAAUAUUGGCGAGAGACCGAUAGCGAACAAGUACAGUGAUGGAAAGAUGAAAAGAACUUUGAAAAGAGAGUGAAAAAGUACGUGAAAUUGUUGAAAGGGAAGGGCAUUAGAUCAGACUUGGUGUUUUACGAUUAUCUUCUCUUCUUGAGUUGUGCACUCGUAUUUCACUGGGCCAGCAUCGAUUCGGAUGGCAAGAUAAUGGCAGUUGAAUGUGGCUUCACUUCGGUGGAGUGUUAUAGCUUCUGCUGAUAUUGCCUGUCUGGAUCGAGGGCUGCGUCUUUUGACUAGGAUGCUGGCGUAAUGAUCUAAUGCCGCCCGUCUUGAAACACGGACCAAGGAGUCUAACGUCUAUGCGAGUGUUUGGGUGUAAAACCCGUACGCGUAAUGAAAGUGAACGUAGGUGAGAGCUCUUUUUUGAGUGCAUCAUCGACCGAUCCUGAUGUUUUCGGAUGGAUUUGAGUAAGAGCAUAGCUGUUGGGACCCGAAAGAUGGUGAACUAUGCCUGAAUAGGGUGAAGCCAGAGGAAACUCUGGUGGAGGCUCGUAGCGGUUCUGACGUGCAAAUCGAUCGUCGAAUUUGGGUAUA